rnacentral:rRNA from 1 species
UACGUAGGGUGCAAGCGUUGUCCGGAAUUAUUGGGCGUAAAGAGCUCGUAGGCGGUUUGUCGCGUCUGCUGUGAAAACGCGAGGCUCAACCUCGCGCCUGCAGUGGGUACGGGCAGACUAGAGUGCGGUAGGGGAGAUUGGAAUUCCUGGUGUAGCGGUGGAAUGCGCAGAUAUCAGGAGGAACACCGAUGGCGAGGCAGAUCUCUGGGCCGUAACUGACGCUGAGGAGCGAAAGCGUGGGGAGCGAACAGG